rnacentral:piRNA from 1 species
AAGGACAUUCCUGGACUGACAGA